ACCCUUAUGAUGUGUUCCUCUUAGACCCUUUUCUUAUAACAGCAAAAUGAGUACUAUACUCUAGGUACUAUAAAUACUAACCAGUUCUAGUUUUGUUUGUUUUAUUAAAUUUAUUGACCACAUAUUGUGAGUGGGUUUUGUAAGAGCAAGGUUGAGCGUGUAAGUGCAGAGUUGAGCGUGUAAGGGCAGGGUUGAGCGUGUAAGGGCAGGGUUGAGUGUAAGGGCAGGUUGAGUGUAUAAGAAAGGGGUUGAGUGUGUAAGAGCAGGUUUAGGAGUAGGGUUGAGUGUGUAAGAGCAGGGUUGAGUGUGUAAGGGCAGGGUUAAGUGUGUAAGAGCAGGUUUAGGAGUAGGGUUGAGUGUGUAAGAGCAGGGUUAAGUGUGUAUAAGAGCAGGUUUAGAGGCAGGGUUGAGCGUGUAAGGGCAGGGUUGAGCGUGUAAGGGCAGGGUUGAGUGUGAAAGAGCAGGGUUGAGUGUGUAAGGGCAGGGUUAAGUGUAUAAGAAAGGGGUUGAGUGUGUAAGAGCAGGUUUAGGAGUAGGGUUGAGUGUAAGAGCAGGGUUGAGUGUGAAAGGGCAGGUUUAGGAGUAGGGUUGAGUGUGUGAGGGCCGGGUUGAGUGUGUAAGAGCAGGUUUAGGAGUUGGGUUGAGUGUGUAAGAGCAGGGUUGAGUGUGUAAGAGCAGGGUUGAGUGUGAAAGGGCAGGUUUAGGAGUAGGGUUGAGUGUGUGAGGGCAGGGUUGAGUGUGUGAGGGCAGGGUUGAGUGUGUAAGGGCAGGGUUGAGUGUGAAAGGGCAGGUUUAGGAGUAGGGUUGAGUGUGUGAGGGCCGGGUUGAGUGUGUAAGGGCAGGGUUGAGUGUGUAAGAGCAGGGUUGAGUGUGUAGGAGCAGGUUUAGAGGUAGGGUUGAGCGUGUAAGGGCAGGGUUGAGCGUGUAAGGGCAGGGUUGAGCGUGUAAGGGCAGGGUUGAGUGUGAAAGAGCAGGGUUGAGUGUGUAAGGGCAGGGUUAAGUGUAUAAGAAAGGGGUUGAGUGUGUAAGAGCAGGUUUAGGAGUAGGGUUGAGUGUAAGAGCAGGGUUGAGUGUGUAAGAGCAGGUUUAGAGUAGGGUUGAGUGUGUAAGAGCAGAGUUGAGUGUGUAAGAGCAGGUUUAGGAGUUGGGUUGAGUGUGUGAGCAGGGUUGAGUGUGUAAGAGCAGGGUUGAGUGUGAAAGGGCAGG